rnacentral:rRNA from 1 species
GAUGAACGCUGGCGGCGUGCCUAAUACAUGCAAGUCGAGCGAACAGAUGAGGAGCUUGCUCCUCUGACGUUAGCGGCGGACAGGUGAGUAACACGUGGAUAACCUACCUAUAAGACUGGGAUAACUUCGGGAAACCGGAGCUAAUACCGGAUAAUAUAUUGAACCGCAUGGUUCAAUAGUGAAAGACGGUUUUGCUGUCACUUAUAGAUGGAUCCGCGCCGCAUUAGCUAGUUGGUAAGGUAACGGCUUACCAAGGCAACGAUGCGUAGCCGACCUGAGAGGGUGAUCGGCCACACUGGAACUGAGACACGGUCCAGACUCCUACGGGAGGCAGCAGUAGGGAAUCUUCCGCAAUGGGCGAAAGCCUGACGGAGCAACGCCGCGUGAGUGAUGAAGGUCCUCGGAUCGUAAAACUCUGUUAUUAGGGAAGAACAAAUGUGUAAGUAACUAUGCACGUCUUGACGGUACCUAAUCAGAAAGCCACGGCUAACUACGUG